CGGCUACCUUGUUACGACUUUUGCCCAAGGGGUUCCAGUUCUCUUUAAGCUCUUUCUCAAGACCUUCGAGGUCCCACUGCUCUUCAACCGUGUCCGCCGGCACAUAGUGACGGAAAAGGCUGGUGAAGUAGCCAUCGCGAAGUUCCUUCACAGGACCGGAAACAUCCUUGUUCUCAAGGAUCUCGUUACGCAGAGCGUAGAUUUCCUUACGCUGAUCGUUUGCCUCGUCAUCGUAUUCGAGCAGCUGUUUACGAAUAUCGAAGUUGCGGGAUUCAACCUUACGCUGAGCGGUUUCAAUGGAGCGGGAAACAAUGCCUGCUUCUAUGGCUUCACCUUCAGGCAGACGCAGUUUGUUCAUCAAAGCCUGCAUCUUUUCGCCGGCGAAGAUUCUAAGCAGCGGAUCUUCCAUGGACAGAUAGAAGCGGGAAGAACCCGGGUCACCCUGACGGCCGGAACGUCCGCGCAGCUGGUUGUCGAUACGACGGGAUUCGUGACGCUCGGAACCAAUAAUUCUCAAGCCGCCGAGUUCCACAACGCGGUCGUGAUCAACCUGCCACUGGGCCUUGAUUUCUUCUUUCUUAGCCUUUUUCUGUUCGUCAGAAAGGGUUUCGUCGUUGUCGAUCUGCUCAAGUGCCUUGCUGAUACCGCCGCCCAAGACGAUGUCGGUACCGCGGCCGGCCAUGUUGGUGGCAAUCGUAACCGUGCCGGGACGACCGGCUUCCAUAACGAUCUGAGCCAGGAUCAAC
rnacentral:rRNA from 1 species